AGAGUUUGAUCCUGGCUCAGGAUGAACGCUAGCGACAGGCCUAACACAUGCAAGUCGAGGGGCAGCAAGUCAGUAGCAAUACCGAUGUUGGCGACCGGCGAAUGGGUGAGUAACACGUAUGCAACCUUUCCGUGAAACGGGGACAGCCUUCCGAAAGGGAGAUUAAGCCCCGAUGGACCACACGGGCCCCAUGGCCUGUAUGGGAAACGCGAGGAUCACGGGUGGGCAUGCGUCCCAUUAGGCAGUUGGCGGGGUAACGGCCCACCAAACCGACGAUGGGUAGGGGUUCUGAGAGGAAAGUCCCCCACAUUGGAACUGAGACACGGUCCAAACUCCUACGGGAGGCAGCAGUGAGGAAUAUUGGUCAAUGGCCGGAAGGCUGAACCAGCCAAGUCGCGUGCGGGAAGAAGGCCCUACGGGUCGUAAACCGCUUUUAUACGGGAAUAAAGUGCGGGACGUGUCCCGCAUUGUAGGUACCGUAAGAAUAAGGAUCGGCUAACUCCGUGCCAGCAGCCGCGGUAAUACGGAGGAUCCGAGCGUUAUCCGGAUUUAUUGGGUUUAAAGGGUGCGCAGGCGGCUUUUUAAGUUGCCGGUGAAAUGUCGGGGCUCAACUCCGUCACUGCCGGCGAUACUGGAAGGCUUGAGAAUGGAGGAGGAUUCCGGAAUGUGUGGUGUAGCGGUGAAAUGCAUAGAUAUCACACAGAACACCGAUUGCGAAGGCAGGAGUCCACACCAUAUCUGACGCUGAGGCACGAAAGCGUGGGGAUCGAACAGGAUUAGAUACCCUGGUAGUCCACGCAGUAAACGAUGAUUACUAGCUGUUUGCGAUACACAGUAAGCGGCACAGCGAAAGCGUUAAGUAAUCCACCUGGGGAGUACGCCGGCAACGGUGAAACUCAAAGGAAUUGACGGGGGCCCGCACAAGCGGAGGAACAUGUGGUUUAAUUCGAUGAUACGCGAGGAACCUUACCCGGGCUUGAAAUGCAGAGGAAUGACUUGGAAACAGGUCCGCCAGCAAUGGUCUCUGUGUAGGUGCUGCAUGGUUGUCGUCAGCUCGUGCCGUGAGGUGUCGGCUUAAGUGCCAUAACGAGCGCAACCCUUAUCAUUAGUUACUAACAGGUUAAGCUGAGGACUCUAAUGAGACUGCCACCGUAAGGUGUGAGGAAGGUGGGGAUGACGUCAAAUCAGCACGGCCCUUACGUCCGGGGCGACACACGUGUUACAAUGGCCGGUACAGAGAGAAGCGAAGCGGCGACGCCAAGCGGACCCCAGAAAGCCGGCCCCAGUACGGAUCGGAGCCUGCAACCCGGCUCCGUGAAGCUGGAUUCGCUAGUAAUCGCGCAUCAGCCAUGGCGCGGUGAAUACGUUCCCGGGCCUUGUACACACCGCCCGUCAAGCCAUGAGAGUCUGAAGCGCCUAAAGUCCGGGACCGCAAGGACCGGCCUAGGGCGAGUCAGGUGAUUGGGGCUAAGUCGUAACAAGGUAACCGUACCGGAAGGUGCGGUUG
rnacentral:rRNA from 1 species